UCAAGAAAGAUGUAGAACAUGAAGUACAUCCAGAAUUUUGAGUCUUUGUCGAUGGAUUGCAUAGGUUUCAGGACAAGGUGUGUGUUCUAUAUGACAGUAAACUAAAAAGGGGUAUAAUAAUAAAGGCUCACAGCUCCAAGUUCGUUAUACAUCUUGGAAGUACAAAAAUGUAUCAAAGUAUGCGACCUCACUUUUGGUAGAGCAUGAUGAAAAAAGAGGUAAU
rnacentral:lncRNA from 1 species